rnacentral:rRNA from 1 species
UACGGGGGGAGCAAGCGUUGUUCGGAUUUACUGGGCGUAAAGGGCGCGUAGGCGGCCAGCGCAAGUCAGUUGUGAAAUCUCCGGGCUUAACUCGGAACGGUCAACUGAUACUGCGCGGCUAGAGUGCAGAAGGGGCAACUGGAAUUCUCGGUGUAGCGGUGAAAUGCGUAGAUAUCGAGAGGAACACCUGCGGCGAAGGCGGGUUGCUGGGCUGACACUGACGCUGAGGCGCGAAAGCUAGGGGAGCAAACGGG